rnacentral:lncRNA from 1 species
CAGCCAAUCAUGGGCGUUCAGGGAGAGAUCCGUUAUCGACCGUUAUUUUUUGUUUGAUCUUCCGGAGCGCGUGCGGGCGAGCGUUGUGCGACGUUCGCGAAACCGAGACCUUUGGCGGUGCGCGUCUGCGCGUUAGAUGUUUCUUUCAACCAGUUCGGCGGGAUGGCUGCUGUGUAUCUAUGGACACUACUGUGCAGCAAAGUGGUGCCGGAACACGACGAAAACCGCUGACAGCAGUUUUUUCCGUUUUACGACGGACGACAGAGUUCCUCGCUCCUGGCUUUCGCCUAACUGGUGCGUCCACCGCCUCCACUUUAGAUCCACCUGCAGCCCCAGUUGAGCCAGGACCAUCACACAGCACAGACCAAGGGCUGGAAGACCACAUGUGUUCCUGAUCAGGCUCUGACUGACUCUUAUGCACAGGAAGACCUCCGCGCUUUCUGAGUCAGAACCGUGCGCUUUGGUUUGGACGGGCAAAACUGCGGGCGAGCGCGC